rnacentral:sRNA from 1 species
GUCAGCACCCCCGGCUGAAGCACGGGGGCUUCGUGCCCUCCCCUUCAGGUAGCUGACCAGCUUAA